AGUGAACGCUGGCGGCGUGCCUAAUACAUGCAAGUCGAACGAUGAAGCUUCUAGCUUGCUAGAAGUGGAUUAGUGGCGCACGGGUGAGUAAGGUAUAGUUAAUCUGCCCUACACAAGAGGACAACAGUUGGAAACGACUGCUAAUACUCUAUACUCCUGCUUAACACAAGUUGAGUAGGGAAAGUUUUUCGGUGUAGGAUGAGACUAUAUAGUAUCAGCUAGUUGGUAAGGUAAUGGCUUACCAAGGCUAUGACGCUUAACUGGUCUGAGAGGAUGAUCAGUCACACUGGAACUGAGACACGGUCCAGACUCCUACGGGAGGCAGCAGUAGGGAAUAUUGCGCAAUGGGGGAAACCCUGACGCAGCAACGCCGCGUGGAGGAUGACACUUUUCGGAGCGUAAACUCCUUUUCUUAGGGAAGAAUUCUGACGGUACCUAAGGAAUAAGCACCGGCUAACUCCGUGCCAGCAGCCGCGGUAAUACGGAGGGUGCAAGCGUUACUCGGAAUCACUGGGCGUAAAGGGCGCGUAGGCGGAUUAUCAAGUCUCUUGUGAAAUCUAAUGGCUUAACCAUUAAACUGCUUGGGAAACUGAUAGUCUAGAGUGAGGGAGAGGCAGAUGGAAUUGGUGGUGUAGGGGUAAAAUCCGUAGAUAUCACCAAGAAUACCCAUUGCGAAGGCGAUCUGCUGGAACUCAACUGACGCUAAGGCGCGAAAGCGUGGGGAGCAAACAGG
rnacentral:rRNA from 1 species